rnacentral:tRNA from 3 species
GCCGAAGUGGUGGAACUGGUAGACACGCAGUCUUGAGGGGGCUGUGAGGGUAACCUCGUGCCGGUUCGAGUCCGGCUUUCGGCA